CGUGAAAUUGUUGAAAGGGAAGCGCUUGCAACCAGACUUGCCCGUGGGUGAUCAGCCGGUAUUCUUACCGGUGCACUCGCCCGUGGUCAGGCCAGCAUCGGUUUGGGCGGCUGGAUAAAGUCCACCGGAAUGUAGCUCCUCUCGGGGAGUGUUAUAGCCGGAGGUGCCAUGCAGCCCGCCCGGACCGAGGACCGCGCUUCGGCUAGGAUGCUGGCGUAAUGGUUGUAAGCGACCCGUCUUGAAACACGGACCAAGGAGUCUAACAUCUAUGCGAGUGUUUGGGUGUCAAACCCAUGCGCGUAAUGAAAGUGAACGGAGGUGGGAACCCUCAAGGGUGCACCAUCGACCGAUCCUGAUGUCUUCGGAUGGAUUUGAGUAAGAGCAUAGCUGUUGGGACCCGAAAGAUGGUGAACUAUGCCUGAAUAGGGUGAAGCCAGAGGAAACUCUGGUGGAGGCUCGCAGCGGUUCUGACGUGCAAAUCG
rnacentral:rRNA from 1 species